CAAGACUACGGGCCAAAGGUACGCAAGCGCGCUGAGUUCGUCGAGUGGGACCGAAAAGCCGACCCGUCCACGGAACAGCCAGCCCCAAGCACACGAUCUAAGUGACACGUACGGAUCACAAGACUUAAAAGAUUCCCGCAGGAUUCAAAUGCACGGAACACGUCUGGCUCUCGCUUCGAACAGACCGGGUCACUUGUAAUCCUGCCUCAGCCUUCCGGGAGUUCUGGGACUACAGGCAUCCACCACCAUGCCCAGCUGGUAUUUGAUUUUUGUCAUGUCAAAGAGAUCUUUUCAUAGAAUUCUCUUAGCCUAUAAAGCUAUUUUGACGUGUA